rnacentral:tRNA from 1 species
GGGCGCGUAGCUCAGGGGGAGAGCACUACAUUGACACUGUAGGGGUCAGAGGUUCGAAACCUCUCGUGCCCACCA